rfam:Camelus ferus unplaced genomic scaffold scaffold706, whole genome shotgun sequence.
GAGGAUGUAGUUCAAGUGGUAGAGCACAUGCUUAGCAUGCACAAGGUCCUGGGUUCAAUCCCCAGUACCUCCA